CAACACCUAAAUGCCUUUUAUACAUACAAGUCUCCAUGUUUGUGUUUUCUAGUUAUCUUCAAAUUUGACCCCCAUUAUAGCCAACAGAAAAAAGGCUGAGGCACGCAAAACAGGUGGCGGUCCACCACCACCACCUCUCACAGAGGCUGAAGAGAUGGCAUCUCUGGGGGGAGCUCAUCGGACCCAGCCAUGCCCCAGGACACAGGCGGCUACAUAAGAGUUACUGAUGAUGGUGUAAUCUGUUUCGUGGAGCCUUCUGCCAUAACACACAUCCAUGCUGUUGAUGAUGAUGAAGACACCUUAUCAGCUGCCACAGAGAGGGAAGUAAUAACUUUGGUUUCAGUUAAUUGCUCCACAAUACAACUUGCAACUGCUUUCUCUCUAACAGAGCAAUGCCGGAAGUUACAAUGAGGAAGAAGGUCCAUCAACCUCCACAGCACAACUU